GACGAACCGAGCGAACGUUAUUCGGAAUCACUGGGCUUAAAGGGCGCGUAGGCGGGCCGUCAAGUCAGGGGUGAAAGCCUCCAGCUCAACUGGAGAAGUGCCUCUGAUACUGGCGGCCUCGAGGGAGGUAGGGGCGUGCGGAACUUCCGGUGGAGCGGUGAAAUGCGUAGAUAUCGGAAGGAACACCGGUGGCGAAAGCGGCGCGCUGGACCUCUUCUGACGCUGAGGCGCGAAAGCGUGGGGAGCAAACGGG
rnacentral:rRNA from 1 species